AUGGGAUCUCCAGCCUUGCCGCUCUGUCUCCUUUUACUGUGGCUCUCAGAUGUCACUGGUGAAACUAUAACACAGUCUCCAGCCUUCCUGAGUCUUUCUCCUGGUGAAACAGCCACUCUGACAUGCAGAUCCAGUGAGAAUGUUGGCAGCUCCUUAGCUUGGUACCAGCAGAAACCUGGACAGGUUCCCAGGCUUCUUAUCUAUGCUGCAUCCACCAGGGUCAGUGAUGUCCCAGCCCGGUUCAGUGGUAGUGGGUCUGGUACAGAUUUCACUCUCACCGUCAGCAGCCUAGAACCAGAGGAUGCUGCAGUUUAUUACUGUGAGACUUACAAAAGAUGA